CCCCCCCCCAGUCUAUGCAGAAUAGCUGACAUUCUUCCUUCCCUCUUAGAGGGCAGAUUAGCACCACCUGUCUUGGCUAACAUUCACGGGAUUCAGCAGGAAAACUAGUAUUAGGGAGGGAAAACUCCCUGAAUGUGGUAUUUUGGGAUUACUUCUUUGGUUGCGAAACCGCUACCUUUGUAUUCAAAGGUGAUGAGACAUUUUUCUGGCUAGAAACAGAGUUGGCGCAGUGAGGUGUCAAGUUCAAAGGAGACCCUGAAAAGAUCUAAGCCCGAUUUGAGCCAAAGCCUUGGGAGGAAGUUGCAACUGCCCUGGAGCCAAAUGCAUCCUGCAAACAGCCAAGUGGAAGAUCUCACACAGAAGCCGUUUGUAAACGGUUCCCAGGUGGCUACAACACAGCAAACUUUGAGACUUCAGACUCCCAGCGCUCAUCUUCCCAAUGAUCCAUCCCAGGAAGAGAAAGCAUGGGGAACUGAAAGCGUUGGUCAGACAGUGACGCGUGAGAGCACUGGACAAGCAACUUUCUUUAAAAGAGUUUCAUGGACAGUAUUCAUCUCCAUCAGAGAAAGCGCCCUUCUGUGUUUAUGCUUUUGCUUCUCAGGCCCAGAUGGGUAUGAGGAAGUGGGACUCAGCUCUGGACCUGCUGUGCAAGGGAGAUUCCUUUAAAAAACAACUGGAUUUUUGCAUUUGGCUCAUAGGAAACCUAAUUACACUCUACUCUCUGGUAAAUUCUCUUCAGUCUUCCAAACAUGGGGUGGGGUGGGGGGAACAGUGGCAGAAACUGAAAGGCCAAGAAAGAGAAAAGAGUGUCCCUAAGACCUAAUGAGUCCAAACUAAACACCUCUCCACAGAAAUGUCAAACAUUUCUCUUAGCACAAAACAAGGCUUAAAGAAUUCACUGCUUUUGUCUCUGGCCUAAUUCCUUAAGCAGAGAGGGGGAUUUUCCUCUGGG
rnacentral:lncRNA from 1 species